GACGAACGCUGGCGGCGUGCUUAACACAUGCAAGUCGAACGGAAAGGCCCUGCUUUUGCGGGGUGCUCGAGUGGCGAACGGGUGAGUAGCACGUGAGUAACCUGCCCUUGACUUUGGGAUAACUUCAGGAAACUGGGGCUAAUACCGGAUAGGAGCUCCUGCUGCAUGGUGGGGGUUGGAAAGUUUCGGCGGUUGGGGCUGGACUCGCGGCUUAUCAGCUUGUUGGUGGGGUAGUGGCUUACCAAGGUUUCGACGGGUAGCCGGCCUGAGAUGGUGACCGGCCACAUUGGGACUGAGAUACGGCCCAGACUCCUACGGGAGGCAGCAGUGGGGAAUAUUACACAAUGGGCGGAAGCCUGAUGCAGCAACGCCGCGUGCGUGAUGACGGCCUUCGGGGUGUAAACCGCUUUCGCCUGUGACGAAGCGUUAGUGACGGUAAUGGGUAAAGAAGCACCGGCUAACUACGUG
rnacentral:rRNA from 1 species